UGCAGUCGAGCGAAUGGAUUAAGAGCUUGCUCUUAUGAAGUUAGCGGCGGACGGGUGAGUAACACGUGGGUAACCUGCCCAUAAGACUGGGAUAACUCCGGGAAACCGGGGCUAAUACCGGAUAACAUUUUGAACCGCAUGGUUCGAAAUUGAAAGGCGGCUUCGGCUGUCACUUAUGGAUGGACCCGCGUCGCAUUAGCUAGUUGGUGAGGUAACGGCUCACCAAGGCAACGAUGCGUAGCCGACCUGAGAGGGUGAUCGGCCACACUGGGACUGAGACACGGCCCAGACUCCUACGGGAGGCAGCAGUUGGGAAUCUUCCGCAAUGGACGAAAGUCUGACGGAGCAACGCCGCGUGAGUGAUGAAGGCUUUCGGGUCGUAAAACUCUGUUGUUAGGGAAGAACAAGUGCUAGUUGAAUAAGCUGGCACCUUGACGGUACCUAACCAGAAAGCCACGGCUAACUACGUGCCAGCAGCCGCGGUAAUACGUAGGUGGCAAGCGUUAUCCGGAAUUAUUGGGCGUAAAGCGCGCGCAGGUGGUUUCUUAUGUCUGAUGUGAAAGCCCACGGCUCACCCGUGAGGGUCAUUGG
rnacentral:rRNA from 1 species